GACGAACGCUGGCGGCGUGCCUAAUACAUGCAAGUAGAACGCUGAAGGAGGAGCUUGCUUCUCUGGAUGAGUUGCGAACGGGUGAGUAACGCGUAGGUAACCUGCCUGGUAGCGGGGGAUAACUAUUGGAAACGAUAGCUAAUACCGCAUAAUAGUAGAUGUUGCAUGACAUUUGCUUAAAAGGUGCACUUGCAUCACUACCAGAUGGACCUGCGUUGUAUUAGCUAGUUGGUGAGGUAACGGCUCACCAAGGCGACGAUACAUAGCCGACCUGAGAGGGUGAUCGGCCACACUGGGACUGAGACACGGCCCAGACUCCUACGGGAGGCAGCAGUAGGGAAUCUUCGGCAAUGGACGGAAGUCUGACCGAGCAACGCCGCGUGAGUGAAGAAGGUUUUCGGAUCGUAAAGCUCUGUUGUAAGAGAAGAACGAGUGUGAGAGUGGAAAGUUCACACUGUGACGGUAUCUUACCAGAAAGGGACGGCUAACUACGUG
rnacentral:rRNA from 1 species